ensembl:lncRNA
GCCAGAGACAGAAUGAGAUAGAGAGACAGGAAGAGAGUGAAACAGUAGAGAGAGAAAGAGAAAAAGAAAGAGAGUUAGUAAGACAAAAUUUCCAACCUAAUACUGGCCGUGAGUAGCAGACUGACAUUUAAAGAAGAGAGAGAAAAAGUCAGACAGGCUGGUGUGAUAUGUGAUAUUUUUCAGCUGUUUCCCUCCAAAUGAACUCAGAGGACAGGCUCCGAUGGCGACCUGGCCAAAGACAUGAACAACUGCAAGACAACACUCAGUUACACAUGAAUAUGACAAUCAAAAGCAUUAUGUAAAAUGCAGUAAGCAAGAGAUGAAUCUGUUUCCAUAUUAGAUGAUAAUUCCCAAGGAGAACUGAGGGCAGACUGGGACUGGAUCUGAAUAGGAAAACCACACAGAGCAACACCUGGACUUAGUUACAAUCACGUAGAGCAACACCUGGACUAAGCCUUUUAUAAUAACACAGAGCAACACCUGGACUAACUCAGUUAAAGCUGCACUGAGCAAAACCUGGACUAACUCAGUUAAAGCUGCACUGAGCAACACCUGGACUAACUCAGUUAAAGCUGCA